AGUCUGUUCUGUUACACUUCA
rnacentral:misc_RNA from 1 species